rnacentral:rRNA from 1 species
GGAUUAGAUACCCUGGUAGUCCACGCCGUAAACGAUGAGUGCUUGGUGUUGGAGGUAUUCACCCCUUCAGUGCCGAAGCUAACGCAUUAAGCACUCCGCCUGGGGAGUACGGUCGCAAGAUUAAAACUCAAAGGAAUUGACGGGGGCCCGCACAAGCGGUGGAGUAUGUGGUUUAAUUCGACGCAACGCGCAGAACCUUACCCGGCCUUGACAUCCUGAGAACCCUUGCGAAAGCAUGGGGUGCCCCCUCACGGGGGAGCUCAGUGACAGGUGCUGCAUGGCUGUCGUCAGCUCGUGUUG